ACUCUAGCGAGACUGCCGGUAUAAACCGGAGGAAGGUGGGGAGUGACGUCAAAUCAUCAUGCCCCUUACUGACCUGGGCUACACACGUGCUACAAUGGUUGGUACAACGAGUUGCGAGUCGGUGACGGCGAGCUAAUCUCUUAAAGCCAAUCUCAGUUCGGAUUGUAGGCUGCAACUCGCCUACAUGAAGUCGGAAUCGCUAGUAAUCGCGGAUCAGCACGCCGCGGUAAAUACGUUCCCGGGCCUU
rnacentral:rRNA from 1 species